AACCUGGUUGAUCCUGCCAGUAGUCAUAUGCUUGUCUCAAAGAUUAAGCCAUGCAUGUCUCAGUAUAAGUCUCAACACGGCGAAACUGCGAAUGGCUCAUUAAAACGGUUUUAUUCUAUUUGAUGGCCGACUACCCAUAUGGAUAACUGUGGAAAUUCUAGAGCUAAUACAUGCGUACAGACCCGACUUCGCGGAAGGGUUGUAUUUAUUAGUUACAGAACCAAUACCUUCGGGUUUUUGGAUGAUUCAUAAUAAAUGAACGGAGCGCGUUGGCUUGUGCCGGCGCCGAAUCAUUCGAGAUUCUGACCUAUCAGCUUUCGACGGUAGUGUAUUGGACUACCGUGGCAUUGACGGGUAACGGAGAAUUAGGGUUCGAUUCCGGAGAGGGAGCCCGAGAAACGGCUACCACAUCUAAGGAAGGCAGCAGGCGCGCAAAUUACCCAAUGCCGAUACGGCGAGGUAGUGACAAGAAGUAACAAAGCAAGUCUCUGACGAGAUUUUGCUAUUGGAAUGAGUAGAAUUUAAAUCCCUUUUCGACUAUCAAUUGGAGGGCAAGUCUGGUGCCAGCAGCCGCGGUAAUUCCAGCUCCAAUAGC
rnacentral:rRNA from 1 species